rfam:Nomascus leucogenys chromosome 4, whole genome shotgun sequence.
GUCUAUGGCCAUACCACCUUGAACACGUUUGAUCUCCUGUGAUCUUGGAAGCUAAGCAGGGGUGGGCCUAAAUAGUACUUGGAUGAGAGAGAAAUUGGUGAGAGAGAGGCA